rnacentral:rRNA from 1 species
GGCAUGGCGCAGCCUACACAUGCAGUCGGACGGUAGCACAGAGGUAAGCUUGCUCCCUCGGGUGACGAGUGGCGGACGGGUGAGUAAUGUCUGGGAAACUGCCCGAUGGAGGGGGAUAACUACUGGAAACGGUAGCUAAUACCGCAUAACGUCGCAAGACCAAAGUGGGGGACCUUCGGGCCUCACACCAUCGGAUGUGCCCAGAUGGGAUUAGCUUGUAGGCGGGGUAACGGCCCACCUAGGCGACGAUCCCUAGCUGGUCUGAGAGGAUGACCAGCCACACUGGAACUGAGACACGGUCCAGACUCCUACGGGAGGCAGCAGUGGGGAAUAUUGCACAAUGGGCGCAAGCCUGAUGCAGCCAUGCCGCGUGUAUGAAGAAGGCCUUCGGGUUGUAAAGUACUUUCAGCGGGGAGGAAGGUGUUGAGGUUAAUAACCUCAGCAAUUGACGUUACCCGCAGAAGAAGCACCGGCUAACUCCGUGCCAGCAGCCGCGGUAAUACGGAGGGUGCAAGCGUUAAUCGGAAUUACUGGGCGUAAAGCGCACGCAGGCGGUCUGUUAAGUCAGAUGUGAAAUCCCCGGGCUUAACCUGGGAACUGCAUUUGAAACUGGCAGGCUUGAGUCUCGUAGAGGGGGGUAGAAUUCCAGGGGUAACGGUGAAAUGCCUAAAAAUCUUGAAGAAUACCCGUCGCCGAUGCC